GUGCUUCCUUCGGCAGCACAUAUACUAAAAUUGGAACGAUACAGAGAAGAUUAGCACGGCCCCCGCGCAAGGAUGACACGCAAACUCGUGAAGUGUUCCAUAUUUUU
rnacentral:snRNA from 1 species